AUUGAACGCUGGCGGCAGGCCUAACACAUGCAAGUCGGACGGUAGCACAGAGGAGCUUGCUCCUCGGGUGACGAGUGGCGGACGGGUGAGUAAUGCCUGGGGAUCUGCCCGAUAGAGGGGGAUAACCACUGGAAACGGUGGCUAAUACCGCAUAACGUCGCAAGACCAAAGAGGGGGACCUUCGGGCCUCUCACUAUCGGAUGAACCCAGAUGGGAUUAGCUAGUAGGCGGGGUAACGGCCCACCUAGGCGACGAUCCCUAGCUGGUCUGAGGGAAAGACCAGCCACACUGGAACUGAGACACGGUCCAGACUCCUACGGGAGGGAGCAGUGGGGAAUAUUGCACAAUGGGCGCAAGCCUGAUGCAGCCAUGCCGCGUGUAUGAAGAAGGCCUUCGGGUUGUAAAGUACUUUCAGCGGGGAGGAAGGCGAUGUGGUUAAUAACCGCGUCGAUUGACGUUACCCGCAGAAGAAGCACCGGCUAACUCCGUGCCAGCCGCCGCGGUAA
rnacentral:rRNA from 1 species